GUGGGAGCGGGCUUGCUCGCGAAUACGGUAUGUCAGUCGCCGGAAAUAGUGACUGAUCUACCGCAUUCGCGAGCAAGCCCGCUCCCAC
rnacentral:misc_RNA from 1 species